GAGGGUAUAGUGUAGUGGUGGAGAGCCUGCCUAGCACGCAGGAGGUCCUGGGUUCAAUCCCCCGUACCUCCA
rnacentral:tRNA from 1 species